rnacentral:lncRNA from 10 species
GUUAGUCCGGGAAUGGCACCAGCCCCAAGGGACCAGAUUUAAGAGACAAGCUAGCUUUAUCCUCUGGACUUUUUGGCUUACUUGAAUCAAUAAUUCCCUUUGGCUGAGAGCCAGCGUGUUCUGGGUUGUUCUGAGGCUUGGAAACAAAAGGCUUCUAACGGAUACAAAUCUCCAAAACCGGCAUUGAAAAGACUGCUACGAGAGCUGCCUCCAGCUGCGGUGAUCCCCUCCACAUAUCAGCUGGCUCCUUCUAAAAUGUGGAUCUCAUGACGUUGCGUCUCCAACUCAAACCCCCAAGCGCCCUUCACGGUCCAGAAAGCCAAGUUGUAGCUCCUCAGCAUGGCAGCAAAGUGCUGCAGGACAUGGAGGCCUUGCUACCUCCCAGCCUCAGCUCCACCCUUCCCCCAAAGCGUGGCCUGCUUGCAUGCCCUGCAUACGUGCUCCAUUUCUUCCCAGGGCAUGGGGCAUACUGCUCUCAUUGCCUGGACUGUCUUUCAUUCUUCCUCUAACCUCUGACUCUCCUCUGCAAGAGGAAGCAUGCAUUGCCUCUUCCAGGAAGGUUCCUGGGUGACACCUUCCUGCCCUUUGCCUUUGACCUUCUCUCCAGCCCCUGCCUCCUCAGGCUGCUAGGGUGUUCCUGUGUGUUCUUCCACACACCCCAAAGGAUGUGUCUUCUGGACACUUGAACCUUGCAGCUAUCCUCUGUCCUUUUUGCCUUGGCUGCUGGGAUGCUCAAGGGACCAUUUUAGGCCUUAUGGUAUGCAUGAUGCCCUCCAAUCCCACCUUCCUCUGCCUGCGUCUCAUUUCCUCAACCCCAGUUGCUUUUUCCCACACGUCCUCAUCUCUUCCUUUCAUCCUUAUGUAUAGCAUGCAUGCAUUGCUGGAAACCAUCCCCAAAUCCUUUUAUGAGGGGUGAGACAACGCAUGAAAGUAAAUAAAAAUGAUAAAAAUCCACCAACUUCUAUGAAUUCAAUUAUGUAACUAACAGGAGCAAUAUAUUUUUCCUCAGAGGCAAUGAGAUGGUAUGUUUUCUCUAUGCAGAAUGCAAAAUGUUGCUGGCAUUUAAG